rnacentral:rRNA from 1 species
CUAACACAUGCAAGUCGAGCGGAAACGACACUAACAAUCCUUCGGGUGCGUUAAUGGGCGUCGAGCGGCGGACGGGUGAGUAAUGCCUAGGAAAUUGCCUUGAUGUGGGGGAUAACCAUUGGAAACGAUGGCUAAUACCGCAUAAUGCCUACGGGCCAAAGAGGGGGACCUUCGGGCCUCUCGCGUCAAGAUAUGCCUAGGUGGGAUUAGCUAGUUGGUGAGGUAAUGGCUCACCAAGGCGACGAUCCCUAGCUGGUCUGAGAGGAUGAUCAGCCACACUGGAACUGAGACACGGUCCAGACUCCUACGGGAGGCAGCAGUGGGGAAUAUUGCACAAUGGGCGAAAGCCUGAUGCAGCCAUGCCGCGUGUAUGAAGAAGGCCUUCGGGUUGUAAAGUACUUUCAGUUGUGAGGAAGGGGGUAGCGUUAAUAGCUCUAUCUCUUGACGUUAGCAACAGAAGAAGCACCGGCUAACUCCGUGCCAGCAGCCGCGGUAAUACGGAGGGUGCGAGCGUUAAUCGGAAUUACUGGGCGUAAAGCGCAUGCAAGUGGUUCAUUAAGUCAGAUGUGAAAGCCCGGGGCUCAACCUCGGAACUGCAUUUGAAACUGGUGAACUAGAGUACUGUAGAGGGGGGUAGAAUUUCAGUGUAGCGGUGAAAUGCGUAGAGAUCUGAAGGAAUACCAUGGCGAAGGCGGCCCCUGGACAGAUACUGACACUCAAUGCGAAAGCGUGGGUAGCAA